GGGGGAAUGCAGGGAAAAAGAGCUAGCCAAACAAACACAUCCUGGGCAGCCAAAGACACACACUUUGGCCCUGCAACGAGAAUCAAAGAAAUGCACCCUGACCUUGAAACCAGUGCAUGUCUUUUUAGAGUUCCUACAGAUUUGGGGCCCUAACAGGAUCACAGAGUGGCAGUUCCUUGUAGGGUCAGUUCUUUCUGUCAAAUGGCAGCAUCUCCUUGGACACAAACACACACACCCAUGCACAGUCACAGGUAAGGGCACAAGGAGCUGUGCCCUUAUAAGUCCAUUUAGCUGUGACAGGAAACAGCAUAGAUCUAUGCUACCUUUUGCUUUCCCAGGGCCAUGCCUCUGUGCUUAUAGCUGAUUUUCCUUAGGAAACUAUCCCUCUCCUGUUCUUAGCCCAAGGUCUCCCUUUUCCUGUCUCCCAAUUCCUCUUCACUUGAGCACUGUGCCGUGUGCAUGAGACUGGUAACUGCUAUGAAGCCAGAUUCUCUCCAUCUGCACAGCCCAUCAGGGGUCAGGCCCAAGGAGGGAGCUGAUCUCUUAGUUAGCUAACAGAAAAGAUGUGCAAGAUGGUGUACUGGGGGAUGAGAAUGGCACCAAUCCAUCCCCGGAUGAAAGCAGAUGAAUUGCAGGUGUGCACAAUCACACUUAUUUCUGGUACGAAUCAACCAGUGCCAUAGCACAUACAGGCAAUCUAGGCUUUGCAGUUGAGGGAGGGAAUACUUGUUUGGAAAGAUAAAGAAUCUGGAAAUAUAUCCAGGGUUCAGGCAGGAGGCUUACAGCAGGCAGAUUGGGGUUUGCUAUAAGGCUAAAAAGGAAAUACACCGAUUCACACAUGCAUUCAUUCCUCUCAUGGUUCUUUAUUCAAGAAUGGAGGCUCUCUUUAUCCCAUAAGGCUUUCAGUUUUUUUAUCCAAUACAGUUACAAUUAACAAUUCUGACGCCAUAAUUGAUAAACGUAAAAACAAGGAAGAAGUACUAGAAGUUUACAAUUAAUAAAAGCUGAAAACGACAUCCUGGUGGCUAUCGGAACCAGCACAAGCUGUGGAAGGAAAAUGGGCCCUUAAUCCAUAGUAGUUUCCGGCCCAUUGUUAGCUAGACCUUGGAAACAAGUUUCUUUUCAGCAGACAGCGAUCCUGGGGAGUUAGUCUGGUGAAUUGUCUACCACAAUCGAAAAUCAAAAACUCAAUGAACAAACCAUAAAGGACUAAAUUAGACUCCACAUGUGGAGCCUCCUUGCCUAUUUAUUCCCUGGGCAGCAAGUUGUUUGUUAAUUGAGUUUUUCAAGACCGGUAGCACUUGCGUGUCACAGACAUAAAAUGUCUGCGAGCUUAAAUACAGAAAAAACCGCAUCAGAUAAAGACGCGGAGGUGGUCUAGAGCCUUGAGACACUUCUGACUGAAGUAGAAUACUAAGAGUCCGAGGCAAAGUGUCCUGUUGAUUAGAAACACUAACAUUAGCCAUACUUUUAUUGAACAAAGUUUAUUCCCCGAGAGGGGGUGCACCGUUCCUGGAAGUACUGCAAUACCAGGUCGAUGCGUGGAGUGGACGGAGCAAGCUCCUAUUCCAACUCCUAGUUCCAAAAAUCCAUUUAAUAUAUUGUCCUCGGAUAGAGGACGUAUCAGAUAUUAAACUGAUAAGAACAGAUACUACACUUGAUCUUAGCCAAAAGGCCGAG
ensembl:lncRNA